rnacentral:rRNA from 1 species
GACGAACGCUGGCGGCGUGCUUAACACAUGCAAGUCGAACGGAAAGGCCCUGCUUUUGUGGGGUGCUCGAGUGGCGAACGGGUGAGUAACACGUGAGUAACCUGCCCUUGACUUUGGGAUAACUUCAGGAAACUGGGGCUAAUCCCGGAUAGGAGCUCCUGCUGCAUGGUGGGGGUUGGAAAGGUUCGGCGGUUGGGGAUGGACUCGCGGCUUAUCAGCUUGUUGGUGGGGUAGUGGCUUACCACGGCUUGGACGGGUAGCCGGCCUGAGAGGGUGACCGGCCACAAUGGGACUGAGAGACGGCCCAGAGGGCUACGGGGGGCAGCGGGCGGGAAUAUUGCACAGUGAGGGGGAGUGUGAUACAGCAGCGCCGCGUGCGGGAUGACGGCCUUCGGGGUGUAAACCGCUGUCGGCUGUGACGAAGCGUGAGUGACGGUAAUGGGUAAAGAAGCACCGGCUAACUACGUG